ACGAAAACAGUAGAUCAAGGUGUCAUUGGGUGCUAAAUAGUAAGGGGAUGCAGUUUUGUGGGUUAAACGGGAACAAAACUCACUAAUUUUGGCUAGAAAAAUGGGGGCAACGGGCGAGCUGGGCUGCUCGGGCUCGGCCUGGGGAGGAAGAAGGGAAGGAAUAAAGGGAAAAAAGAAAAGAAAGGAGGGCCCGCCGCGG
rnacentral:lncRNA from 1 species